rnacentral:tRNA from 1 species
CUUUAGCUUAGUUGGUAGAGCAUCUGAUUCGUAAUCAGAGGGUCGCUGGUUCGAAUCCAGUAG